UCUGGGAAUGAUCACAUCUUGAUUACAUGCAUGAUCACAUGAUCCGUGCAUGACCAAGAAAGUGAAACUAAACUGUCAAGAGAACCAACAUUAUGAGAGAGAAGAAAGCAUGCAGGCCACUUGGUCCCAGCAGUGUUCUGCACUGUCCCAAGGCCACUCACUGGUCCUUGCUGAGUGAAGACCAUUUCCACAGGUUUUGCCUCACAGAGACCCAUUAGGCGAACACUCAUAUGCUGAUACAAAACCUUGCCACAAAGUUCCCAACAAAACACCCACCGGGCAUCUGAUGGAGGACAAACUGUCAGUGGGAAGAAUUCUCACACACCCAUCAGAUGUGUUGUGUUUUGUGUUUUUCCUACCUCAUAAAGCACUCCAAAGAAUUCCAGCUUCCUCCAGACUCUCAUCCUUCCUUGGAGAGAUCAACUAGCCAUCACUCCUUUCAAGCCUUCCCUCACCUGCCAAUCAACGAAACCUCAACACCCCACCUGGGAGCUGCAGGAAUGAGUGUGUGGCUGAACUCUGACUAAUCAGACCCAGAAGCAGG
rnacentral:lncRNA from 1 species